rnacentral:rRNA from 1 species
AACGAACGCUGGCGGCAUGCCUAACACAUGCAAGUCGAACGAGACCUUCGGGUCUAGUGGCGCACGGGUGCGUAACGCGUGGGAACCUGCCCUUAGGUUCGGAAUAACUCCCCGAAAGGGGUGCUAAUGCCGGAUAAUGUCUUCGGACCAAAGAUUUAUCGCCUUUGGAUGGGCCCGCGUUGGAUUAGCUAGUUGGUAGGGUAAAAGCCUACCAAGGCGACGAUCCAUAGCUGGUCUGAGAGGAUGAUCAGCCACACUGGGACUGAGACACGGCCCAGACUCCUACGGGAGGCAGCAGUGGAGAAUAUUGGACAAUGGGCGAAAGCCUGAUCCAGCAAUGCCGCGUGAGUGAUGAAGGCCUUAGGGUUGUAAAGCUCUUUUACCCGGGAUGAUAAUGACAGUACCGGGAGAAUAAGCUCCGGCUAACUCCGUG